rnacentral:rRNA from 1 species
GUGCCUAAUACAUGCAAGUCGAGCGGACAGAUGGGAGCUUGCUCCCUGAUGUUAGCGGCGGACGGGUGAGUAACACGUGGGUAACCUGCCUGUAAGACUGGGAUAACUCCGGGAAACCGGGGCUAAUACCGGAUGGUUGUUUGAACCGCAUGGUUCAAACAUAAAAGGUGGCUUCGGCUACCACUUACAGAUGGACCCGCGGCGCAUUAGCUAGUUGGUGAGGUAACGGCUCACCAAGGCAACGAUGCGUAGCCGACCUGAGAGGGUGAUCGGCCACACUGGGACUGAGACACGGCCCAGACUCCUACGGGAGGCAGCAGUAGGGAAUCUUCCGCAAUGGACGAAAGUCUGACGGAGCAACGCCGCGUGAGUGAUGAAGGUUUUCGGAUCGUAAAGCUCUGUUGUUAGGGAAGAACAAGUACCGUUCGAAUAGGGCGGUACCUUGACGGUACCUAACCAGAAAGCCACGGCUAACUACGUGCCAGCAGCCGCGGUAAUACGUAGGUGGCAAGCGUUGUCCGGAAUUAUUGGGCGUAAAGGGCUCGCAGGCGGUUUCUUAAGUCUGAUGUGAAAGCCCCCGGCUCAACCGGGGAGGGUCAUUGGAAACUGGGGAACUUGAGUGCAGAAGAGGAGAGUGGAAUUCCACGUGUAGCGGUGAAAUGCGUAGAGAUGUGGAGGAACACCAGUGGCGAAGGCGACUCUCUGGUCUGUAACUGACGCUGAGGAGCGAAAGCGUGGGGAGCGAACAGGAUUAGAUACCCUGGUAGUCCACGCCGUAAACGAUGAGUGCUAAGUGUUAGGGGGUUUCCGCCCCUUAGUGCUGCAGCUAA